rnacentral:rRNA from 1 species
GAUAGUUGAUCCUGGCUCAGAUUGAACGCUGGCGGCAUGCUAACACAUGCAAGUCGAACGGCAGCACAGGUAGCAAUACCGGGUGGCGAGUGGCGGACGGGUGAGUAAUGCAUCGGGAUCUACCUGACGUGGGGGAUAACCUCGGGAAACCGGGACUAAUACCGCAUACGUCUACGGGAGAAAGCGGGGGACUUUCGGGCCUCGCGCGGCAGGACGAACCGAUGUGCGAUUAGCUAGUUGGCGGGGUAAUGGCCCACCAAGGCGACGAUCGCUAGCUGGUCUGAGAGGAUGAUCAGCCACACUGGGACUGAGGCACGGCCCAGACUCCUACGGGAGGCAGCAGUGGGGAAUAUUGGACAAUGGGCGCAAGCCUGAUCCAGCAAUGCCGCGUGUGUGAAGAAGGCCUUCGGGUUGUAAAGCACUUUUAUCAGGAGCGAAAUACUACCGGCCAAUACCCGGUGGGGCUGACGGUACCUGAGGAAUAAGCACCGGCUAACUUCGUGCCAGCAGCCGCGGUAAUACGAAGGGUGCAAGCGUUAAUCGGAAUUACUGGGCGUAAAGGGUGCGUAGGCGGUUCGUUAAGUCUGUUGUGAAAUCCCCGGGCUCAACCUGGGAAUGGCAAUGGAUACUGGCGGGCUAGAGUGUGUCAGAGGAUGGUGGAAUUCCCGGUGUAGCGGUGAAAUGCGUAGAGAUCGGGAGGAACAUCAGUGGCGAAGGCGGCCAUCUGGGACAACACUGACGCUGAAGCACGAAAGCGUGGGGAGCAAACAGGAUUAGAUACCCUGGUAGUCCACGCCCUAAACGAUGCGAACUGGAUGUUGGUCUCAACUCGGAGAUCAGUGUCGAAGCAAACGCGUAAGUCGCCGCC